AUCUACAGCCAUGCCACCCUGAACGCGCUGGAUCACACCUGAUCUCGGAAGCUAAGCAGGGUCAGGCCUGGUUAGUUCUUGGGUGGGAGAACCACUGCUCCAGAUCAGUAGUUCUGAACUAGGGUGUUGUAGGAC
rnacentral:rRNA from 1 species